rnacentral:lncRNA from 1 species
AUACAUAUUGCCUCUCACAUCUCUCUCAUUUGUUGGAUGUAUUCUGUAUGGGGUUUCUAUCUUGCUCUCUGAGUAUUCUAAACUCCUCUUUGUGUUCAAUCUCUAUAAUAUUUUGGUGAGAUGUUCUUGAUUGUAUUAGUCUGCAACUUGAGAUUGUGAGGAAUAUAUUCUAUUAUAAUAUUUAGAAAGGCGAGAAGAAACACCAAUGAAGAAAAUUUCUUCGUAGAUGAGUAGAUAUUGCUGAACAUUUGGGCCCUUAGUGGCGGAAAAUGUUCUGCGUUCUUCUAUUUUCUUCUAUUUUAUGUUUUCUGCAGCUUUAAGUUUUAC